rnacentral:rRNA from 1 species
GACGAACGCUGGCGGCGCGCUUAACACAUGCAAGUCGAGCGAUGAAAUCUUGACAGAUCCCUUCGGGGUGAAGAUAAGAUGGAUUAGCGGCGGACGGGUGAGUAACACGUGAGUAACCUGCCUUAGACAUUGGGAUAGCCUCGGGAAACCGGGAUUAAUGCCAAAUGAAAUCAUAGGUGCCCAUGCACUAAUGAUCAAAGCUCCGGUGGUCUAAGAUGGACUCGCGUCCCAUUAGCUAGUUGGUGAGGUAACGGCCCACCAAGGCGACGAUGGGUAGCCGGCCUGAGAGGGUGAACGGCCGCAUUGGAACUGAGAAACGGUCCAAACUCCUACGGGAGGCAGCAGUGGGGAAUAUUGCACAAUGGAGGGAACUCUGAUGCAGCGACGCCGCGUGAACGAUGAAGGCUUUCGAGUCGUAAAGUUCUUUUAUAUGGGAAGAUAAUGACGGUACCAUAAGAAAAAGCCCCGGCUAACUACGUGCCAGCAGCCGCGGUAAUACGUAGGGGGCUAGCGUUGUCCGGAAUCACUGGGCGUAAAGGGUUCGCAGGCGGAAAUGCAAGUCAGAUGUAAAAGACAGUAGCUUAACUACUGUAAGCAUUUGAAACUGCAUAUCAUGAGAAGAGUAGAGGUAAGUGGAAUUUUUAGUGUAGCGGUGAAAUGCGUAGAUAUUAAAAAGAAUACCGGUGGCGAAGGCGACUUACUGGGCUCAUUCUGACGCUGAGGAACGAAAGCGUGGGUAGCAAACAGGAUUAGAUACCCUGGUAGUCCACGCUGUAAACGAUGAGUGCUAGGUAUCGGAAUAAUUCGGUGCCGCAGUUAACACAUUAAGCACUCCGCCUGGGGAGUACGUGCGCAAGCAUG